UAGGUGUAUGGGUUCCACAGAGGGGACUUGU
rnacentral:piRNA from 1 species